UCUUUUACAUAUUUACAAGGCUACUGUCAAUUCAUGCUUUGUUCAUUGAUUCAUGUUUUUGCUCAGAACAGACUAACAUGGACUAUGUGGAAGUGGAAAAAGAAGCGCAGACAUCUUAGUCUUCUAGGAAGAGCAAGAGUCAGGCUAACGCUGACAGCUAAUAACACAGGACUUCCAGGCAGGACCUGGGAGAGUGGAAAAGAACCGUAAGAGAGUUUGGUGCCAUGACUCGGAUGGCUAACGCCCAGCAACAAACGACUGCAGACUGUUCCCCUGAGAACCUCAUAGUGCCAUAAUAGAGCUGAUGUAUUUUCAAAUUGGAUUGAGGCCUUCCCUUGCAGAAGGUCAGAUGCCAAGACUGAUGUGAAAUUGUUGCUUAAGGAUUUUGUACCACGAUUUGGCAUACCUGUGAGUAUCAACAGUGACUGUGGAACUCAUUUUACUGGACAGAUAGUAAAAGAAUUAUGUGCAGCUCUGCAGAAUCAACAUGAUCUCCAUUGCCCCCACCAUCUGCAGGGACAGUGAAACGUCAGAGUGGGAUUUUGAAAAUUAAACUGGCCAAGAUUUGUGCUGAGAUGAACUUAAAGUGGCCAAAUGCCGUCCCAUUAGCAUUGAUGAAUAUGAGAGCCACUCCCAACCGAAAGACUGGACUUAGCCCACAUGAGAUCCUGACAGGGUGCCCAAUGUGACUACAGGCUGCUCCCCCACUGACCUUUGCCCAGAUGGACAUCCAUUUAAUGGAUGACACAGUGCUUAAUUAUCGUCAGGAACUAAUGAAAUGUAUCAGGUCUUUUAUACACAGGUGAAAGAAGCACUACCCAAGGAUCCUGAGCAACCCUGCCACUCGCUGGAACCAGGAGACUGAGUCUACAUAAAGGUCCAUCAGCAAAAGACUGCUCUGGCCCCACCCUGGAAAGGCCCUUACCAAAUCCUGUUAACUACCAACGUUGCUGUGAAGUGCCAAGGACUGACUGCCUGGACCCAUCCUUCUCAUUGCAAAAAGGCCCCUCCACCUCAAGAUGACCCUCUGACUGCUGAUCAGCCUGUCCCUCCUUUUGUUACUACUUUUCCUCCUUCUGGACAGCAGGAGAAAAGGACAAGGUGAAGUGCUGGUAACCUCUCCCUUGUCCACUAACAGAACCACCAUACAUUUACCAUCUGCUGGAGGAACCCAGUUAUUACAGGGUGACAUGCUGGUAACCUCUCCCCUGUAUGAUGCUGAACCAUGACUGUUCCAGGAGAGAAGGUAUGUUCGCUCCACUGAAAUUGUCAAAGUCCAGGGAUGCUUGACUACAAAAGACAUUAAAAAUUGGCCCUGGUGAAAGAGACGGAGUAUGGUAACAUGGCAGGGAGGAACCGCGCUUGGGACAGUGGUAUUGAGUGGUGGUUUGGGUUUAAUCUGGGGCCUGGGAAAUGUGCUUAUAGACAAGUACCAUCAGAAUGUAGUGCCCUCCCUAACUGGUGGUCAGAUGAUGGAAACCAAAGACGCCUUGCUGCCACGAAUAUUACCCCCACCAUCCUCUCCACCUUUGCCACCAUCCCCUGUAACACAUUCUAAUACAGAUAAUAUCAUAUACUCUAAUGAAACCCAAUGGCCAAGGGCUUUACACCUUAGUGAUCCCUAUGGGAUGGUGCCAAUAGUUCAGCAGCAAUUUAGAACACUUACAAAGGCCAACAAUAUGAUGAGAACUUAAGGCAACUGGAAAAGGUCGCUGGUCUUAUUAUUGGAGCACAGUUAACCCAGGUACAGGCUGGGGUUGGUGAAUUACAUGUUUUUGCCCUUAGCUCAAUGACCCAGAAGCUAUUGACAGAGAUGGUAUUGAAUAUCAGAGGCAUGAAAGAAAUUGCAGUGGGAUCUGGUUUGCUCAGAAAUUCAGGAUCUCCUGAAUGACCAGCUGAUGGUCAUUCAGAGUGAUCUCAAGCAUCAAGCGUAGCCUACUGCCCUUACAAUGCUUCACAAAUGCCAUCUGAUCUGUGGCCAUGGAGACAUACUUGGAGAUUUUCUGGGUGGAAGUGCAGAUGCUCACAGUGCUCUUUCCAAGCAUACGGACAAGUUGGAAGUGUGUGGGCUUCCACAUACCAAAAUCCCGCCGGGUCCGUGGGGAGAAUGCAUGUGGGAUUGGAUAAUUCACGGAAACAUUUGGGAAAUUAGACUACCUGAUAUGCCUAAUCAAUUUUUAGUCAGUGCUCCCGGAAUAACACCCGACAUUUGGAUAGGGAUAGGGAGUUAAUGGACACUCUGGCCGUUAGAAAACACUCCCUCCCCCAACUUCAAUAAACAGCAGGUGUCACUGUUGAUGACAACAUCUGUUGGUAAGGUAUGGGACAAGGAACUACCCUGACAGGACACCUGCUUUUCCAAGCUAAUGACAGCUGUGUGUGUGUUAAGGCCACCACUUUACGAGAUAUACAUGUUAAUCUCACCACUGCUGCAGGCAAUUAUAUUUAUUGGCCUGCGGAUAGAAUUUUAUAAUCAGUCCUUAGGUUUCAUAUACCCUUUAAUUGAAUUACUUUAGUAUCUGACCAGUUUCAAAAUUUGCUUUUAGGGCUACCAGAGGUUCAGAGAAUGUCUGAAUUACAAGGGCAAAUUCAUAUGCUUCAAAAUAUAUAUCAACUUGAAAAGUGCCUUUCAUACAGCUUAUAGAGUGUUUACUUGAUUUAGUGUUUUGUGACUAAAAUUGUACAACCACCCUAUCAUAUUAUUACCAUGGGAAUGUUAAUAGUUUUUAUUGCUGUUUAGUUUAGGAUUGUUACUGAUGUUGUAUUAUUACAUCUUUGACUAACACCUUCUAUGUUCAUAUUAACCAUGCAUUGUUAUUGCAUCCCAUGAAACCCAUAAGGUUGAACCAUUUGAUCUAGAAUCAGAAAUACAAGGUUUGAUGAACUUGAAGGUUUAAGAUUGAUAGUUGUGCUAGAAGCACAAAAGGGGGGAGGGUG